rnacentral:rRNA from 1 species
CAGCAGCCGCGGGAAUACGUAGGUGGCAAGCGUUGUCCGGAAUUAUUGGGCGUAAAGCGCGCGCAGGCGGUUUCUUAAGUCUGAUGUGAAAGCCCCCGGCUUAACCGGGGAGGGUCAUUGGAAACUGGGAGACUUAGAGUGCAGAAGAGGAGAGUGGAAUUCCAUGUGUAGCGGUGAAAUGCGUAGAUAUAUGGAGGAACACCAGUGGCGAAGGCGACUCUCUGGUCUGUAACUGACGCCGAGGCGCGAAAGCGUGGGGAGCAAACAGGAUUAGAUACCCGAGUAGUCCCUGUCUCUUAUA